AACAGAACCCGCCCUGGCACGGACAGCAGGCAGCCCGCAAUCAGGUUAGUGGGAAUCUCACCCUGGGGUCACAGAACUGGGGCAGCCAGCCUUGCCAAAGGGGAGCUGGAGGCUCCCGGCGUAGGGGCCUCCCCUCCUCCCAGCCCGAGAUGAGACCACCAGGAGGGGAGGCAUGGACUGUAUUCCUGGCAACAGGCCCAGGGGACACCCGGUGAGGGGCAGGCCCCCCGCCCCGCCCCAACAGAUGCUCCUGGGCCUUCUGGAGGAGGGUGCAGAACUCAAGGGCAGUGGCCACUGCUUUGCUGCCUUCGUGUGAGGCCGUGAGGUCUACUCGUGAAGCCCACUCAGUUGACGGCCACGUGUCCCACUUGAGGCGCAAGUGUUUCCUUGGUGAGAACUUGUGGCUGUGACCCCCACAAGGAAGCAUGGUGCCACCGUUCCUGCAUAAGAAACAGCUGAGUGCACACCAGACCCCGAAUAUGAUUCCACCAAGGCAGCCAGCCCCAUCUCCACGCCAGGCCCUCUCCUGUCCUGCCUGGCCAUGCUCUGACCUCUCAUGCCCAGCCUGGCUCCUGUCCGCUCGUCCAUGGCUGCCUGGAUCCCGGGCCCCUUGUCCCUGAGCUGUGUUCCCUUCUUCCUCAUCGGGAGAGGCCCACUCGCCUGCCUUUGGGGUCUCUACUGCCCGGUGAGGUCUGGGAUGCUGCAUCCUGGCUCCUGAUUUAUGCCACACAGCCACACCGUCACCUCAUCGCACGGUGUUGUGGAGACUCUGCAUUAGCAAUGAAGAUGUAACACGUGCAAGGCCCUGGAACUAGAAAAUGGGGCAGGAGGAAUCCUACAGGGGACACCCGAAAGCCCAGCACCCGCAGUAAACUUCUGCUCCUCACAGCCAGCCUGGGAGGGACGUCGACAAGGACACCGUGCUGCGGGGCAGAGGCACCAGCCUCGCUGCUGGACUGGCCCUGGGGAGGCUGGUCCCACCAUGCAUGGUGAGAAUAAAAAUCCUGUCCUCCAAAUUCAAGAAAGGACACACCUGACAGUUAUUUGGCCUUAGAAGCUGUGAACAAGUAAAACACAAAGGUGACUUAAACCCCGUCCCAAUGGGUCAGCGACGACACUUCAGAAGCUUCUGAAAGGUGGGACCUUGCCCUUACCAGAGCGCCCUGCAGGGAUCACACCCCCCUUGCUUCUGAACCUUUGCUGGUUCUGGACUCCACGCUUCCUCAAAGGCCGGGCAAUAUCUGCUUUUCGCUGUGUUCAGAGACCGUGCCUUGGAGUUACAGCUCUCUACUGUGCAAGUAAUAAUUCCCUUUCAUUUCAGAUGCUGGAAUUGAUUUCCUCCUUCCACAAUGGCGGGGGGAGGCCAGCCAGGUCACACUUUCCCAGGAGCCAGGCCAGCUGAUGGACCCAGGAAGCUGGAGUUGGACGGCAGUGGAGCCCCACACACAGGCUGUUCUGUGCACUGGGAGCAGGACCCCUGGCUGAGCUAGCAGGACAGGAUGGGCUCCAACCUUAGGGAACAGAGCCACACCAAGUGAGAGCAAUUCAGGUGCUGGACCUCAAGCCUCAGAGAGGAUUCUGCUUUUCCUGUAAGUUCAGGGAUCUUCUGUCACCUCCCCACAAUGUCCAUCCACAGAGCUGCACCCAGGAGCUCAGGCCUGGCACACAUCGGGCCGGCCUCCUGUCUUCAAGACUCCAUCAUCACCUCCUCCGGGGACCUGUCCCAAGCAGCCCCGGGUCCGUCCUCCUAGGGCCCACAGCCACUUGAGGCACAGGGUCCGCGCAGCUUCCUCACCGUUCCUGCCAGACAGCCAGCGCCGUCCCGACAUGACCAGUGUCCAGCAUGGCCUGGCACAGCCCAGAGGCACUGUCCAUGCUGCUGGGCACGGAUGUCACCAAUGGCUGGGUGGGCUGCACGGCCCUGAAGGCAAAGUUCCA
rnacentral:lncRNA from 1 species